CUACGGGUUGCUGCAGUGGGGAAUAUUGGACAAUGGGGGAAACCCUGAUCCAGCAAUGCCGCGUGUGUGAAGAAGGCCUGCGGGUUGUAAAGCACUUUCGGUUGGGAGGACUGCUUCUAGCACUAAUAUUGUUGGAAGUUGACGUUACCUUCAGAAGAAGCACCGGCUAACUCCGUGCCAGCAGCCGCGGUAAUACGGAGGGUGCGAGCGUUAAUCGGAAUUACUGGGCGUAAAGCGCGCGUAGGCGGCUAGAUCAGUCGGUUGUGAAAGCCCCGGGCUUAACCUGGGAACUGCCUCCGAUACUGUCUAGCUUGAGUACAGGAGAGGAGAGUGGAAUUCCACAUGUAGCGGUGAAAUGCGUAGAUAUGUGGAGGAACACCAAUGGCGAAGGCAGCUCUCUGGCCUGAUACUGACGCUGAGGUGCGAAAGCGUGGGGAGCAAACAGGAUUAGAUACCCUCGUAGUC
rnacentral:rRNA from 1 species